UACAGAGGUCUCAAGCGUUGUUCGGAUUCAUUGGGCGUAAAGGGCGCGUAGGUGGCGCGCUAAGUCGGGUGUGAAAUUUCGGAGCUUAACUCCGAAACUGCAUUCGAUACUGGCGUGCUUGAGGACUGGAGAGGAGACUGGAAUUCAUGGUGUAGCAGUGAAAUGCGUAGAGAUCAUGAGGAAGACCAGUGGCGAAGGCGGGUCUCUGGACAGUUCCUGACACUGAGACACGAAGGCCAGGGGAGCAAACGGG
rnacentral:rRNA from 1 species